rnacentral:rRNA from 1 species
AUCAUGAGUUCACAUGUCCGCAUGAUUAAAGGUAUUUUCCGGUAGACGAUGGGGAUGCGUUCCAUUAGAUAGUAGGCGGGGUAACGGCCCACCUAGUCAACGAUGGAUAGGGGUUCUGAGAGGAAGGUCCCCCACAUUGGAACUGAGACACGGUCCAAACUCCUACGGGAGGCAGCAGUGAGGAAUAUUGGUCAAUGGGCGAUGGCCUGAACCAGCCAAGUAGCGUGAAGGAUGACUGCCCUAUGGGUUGUAAACUUCUUUUAUAAAGGAAUAAAGUCGGGUAUGCAUACCCGUUUGCAUGUACUUUAUGAAUAAGGAUCGGCUAACUCCGUGCCAGCAGCCGCGGUAAUACGGAGGAUCCGAGCGUUAUCCGGAUUUAUUGGGUUUAAAGGGAGCGUAGAUGGAUGUUUAAGUCAGUUGUGAAAGUUUGCGGCUCAACCGUAAAAUUGCAGUUGAUACUGGAUGUCUUGAGUGCAGUUGAGGCAGGCGGAA